CGUACCUUUUGUAUAAUGGGUCAGCGACUUAUAUUCUGUAGCAAGGUUAACCGAAUAGGGGAGCCGAAGGGAAACCGAGUCUUAACUGGGCGUUAAGUUGCAGGGUAUAGACCCGAAACCCGGUGAUCUAGCCAUGGGCAGGUUGAAGGUUGGGUAACACUAACUGGAGGACCGAACCGACUAAUGUUGAAAAAUUAGCGGAUGACUUGUGGCUGGGGGUGAAAGGCCAAUCAAACCGGGAGAUAGCUGGUUCUCCCCGAAAGCUAUUUAGGUAGCGCCUCGUGAAUUCAUCUCCGGGGGUAGAGCACUGUUUCGGCAAGGGGGUCAUCCCGACUUACCAACCCGAUGCAAACUGCGAAUACCGGAGAAUGUUAUCACGGGAGACACACGGCGGGUGCUAACGUCCGUCGUGAAGAGGGAAACAACCCAGACCGCCAGCUAAGGUCCCAAAGUCAUGGUUAAGUGGGAAACGAUGUGGGAAGGCCCAGACAGCCAGGAUGUUGGCUUAGAAGCAGCCAUCAUUUAAAGAAAGCGUAAUAGCUCACUGGUCGAGUCGGCCUGCGCG
rnacentral:rRNA from 1 species